UACGGGGGGGCAAGCGUUGUUCGGAAUUACUGGGCGUAAAGGGCGCGUAGGCGGCCUGCUAAGUCGGACGUGAAAUCCCUCGGCUCAACCGGGGAACUGCGUCCGAUACUGGCGAGGCUUGAAUCCGGGAGAGGGAUGUGGAAUUCCAGGUGUAGCGGUGAAAUGCGUAGAGAUCCGGAGGAACACCAGCGGCGAAGGCGGCAUCCUGGACUGGUCCUGACACUCAUGAGCGAAAGCGUGGGGAGCGAUCCGG
rnacentral:rRNA from 1 species